rnacentral:rRNA from 1 species
UACGGGAGGCAGCAGUGGGGAAUAUUGCACAAUGGGCGCAAGCCUGAUGCAGCAACGCCGCGUGGAGGAAGACGGUUUUCGGAUUGUAAACUCCUGUUCUUAGUGACGAAGAAGUGACGGUAGCUAAGGAGCAAGCCACGGCUAACUACGUGCCAGCAGCCGCGGUAAU